rnacentral:rRNA from 1 species
GACAGAGGAUGCAAGCGUUAUCCGGAAUGAUUGGGCGUAAAGCGUCUGUAGGUGGCUUUUAAGUCCGCCGUCAAAUCCCAGGGCUCAACCCUGACAGGCGGUGGAAACUACCAAGCUGGAGUACGGUAGGGGUAGAGGGAAUUUCCAGUGGAGCGGUGAAAUGCGUAGAUAUUGGAAAGACCACCGAUGGCGAAGGCACUCUACUGGGCCACUACUGACACUGAGAGACGAAAGCUAGGGGAGCAAAUGGG